rnacentral:lncRNA from 1 species
GAAAGAAACAGUGAAGUGCUAGCCUUAUUGAUACUGAGGUGAGACCCAGCGAACUGCCAUCCCCUUGGCCUGUUGUGUGGCCUAUGGUGGCAAAGAAAGGUGUGCUCAUUAAGAUUACACUGAAGCUGGGUGGAGGGUCUGACAAACGCUACUGAGGGCGUUGCUCAAACCAAAAGGCCAUGGGUGUACUAGAGGCCAAUAAGGGACAAGAGACAACAGAGGACAAGAGAACAGGAGACAUCCCUGUGGACACCAGUGAGUGCCAGCUCACACUUGCAAGCUGAGGUGAGGGGGCCAAUUUCACUCCAUAGCAUAGUAUGAGCCACGUACCCUUUGUCCCACAUGUCAGAAGGAGAUCAUCAUUCUUCUCAAAACUGACGUGACAGUUUAAACUUAUUAGCUUACAGUAAGCUUUAAAUCAGAUUGGACGUUUACUUAGUUUUUUUCCCACUAAUCAGCAGGUAGGAGCUUGGGAGGCAAGUCAUAAGUCACAACAAAACAGAAGAGCUGCAUUUUCUCUGAACAUCCCAGUUUCGGUGUUAGUAGGAUUUGGGACUCUGCUACAGAAACAGUAAUUUGAUGAGCAUCCUUACACACAUCUUCAUACUCUUUAUAUCUUGUUCAACCCGUUCUUUAAGAUAAAUUGCUGAAUGUGGAAUUGUUGGGUUACAGGCUAUGACCACUUUAUGGUUUCUGAUACUAUUCCACACAAGCAUUGUACCAAUUUACCCUCCUCCGACUGUCCUGAACAUUGUGUUAUUAUCUUGGUUUUCUUUAUAUUUUUGCCAAUUAUGUUUGGCACAUUAUUAUUUAAUUGGCCUGUAUUUUUUAAACUCUUGAAGUAUCCUGAGGCUUGAUGCCCCAUAAAUUUUUUAAGCAAUUUUUUUGGGAUUAUAAUGGUUUAUAACAUUGUGUAAUUUCGGAUGUACAAUAUUGUCUAUCAAUUCCUGAAUACACUUCAUUGUGCCUAUCUCCAGUAGUCUAAUUUUUAUCCACCACCAUACACAUGUGCCCCUUUAUCCCUUUUGCCCACCCCCCGAACCCCCUUCACCUCUGGUAACCACUAAUCUGUUCUCUUUAACCAUGUAUCUGUUAUCUUCCACAUAUGAGUGAAAUCAUGCAGUAUUUGUCUUUCUCUGUCUAGCUUAUUUUCCUUAACAUCAUAUCCUCAAGGUCCAUCCAUGUGGUUGCAAAUGGGACAAUUUUGUCUUUUCUUAAUUUUAAACUUCAUUCUUGAAGAAUAACAUACCUACAGAAAGGAGCACAGAGUGAACAAAGUUGUCGUCCUCCUCUACCUCCACAUCGCCAUACCUUCUCAUCCCCAAGGCUGUAGAUGUGGAAAAUACCUUCUCCAAGUUUGAGGAUUGUAUUUUCACUCUUGAUAUAAUGUAUUUUGGUAUUGUGAGAAGCUAUAUUUUUCCACUCAUGAACUUUGAACAGAAUUUCUGUGCUUAAAGGCAGUUCUAGGAAUUGAGAAAAGAAGAUAGCUGCAAUAAAUUCCGAGAAGCAAUAAAUUCCAAGGAGCAAAAUCAGAUUCUGAGCAAUGAGCACCCUGAACUGGAACUGGCUGACCAGAAAAAGGCCUGAGAAUGCUGAAAAAAACACAAGCUGUGUGACCGUCCACCUUGAGUCAGCUGACUUACUCUCCCAGUACUUUUCCACCCUGAGCUUUGCCUCAAUAACAACUUUAACUAAAUUUUGCUCAAGGAGUUACUCUCUCUGAAGUUCUUCCAACUGCAAUAGUUUGGAUAAAGUGUUUGCCUUCACCUGUAACCAGUCUCGGUUUCCGUUUUGAUAAUAUGAAUCCCCAAUAUGCCCAGUACCACUACUGCCCCUCAGUGCAAGUCUGUCCUUUCCCUACUGCUCUGCAAUGUCACUUGUCAUGUUACCAAGUGUAUAAGUAUGCAUAAAUCCCUUUCUAGUCUCUCUUCUGUUUCAUUGGUCUAUUUGUCUAUUUUUUUGCCUAUGCCACACUCUCUUAAUCACCAUAGCUUUCUUACAGGUCUUGCUAUCUGGAAGACAGGUCCCCACACCUUGCUUUCUAGAGGGCUUUGCCUAUUCUUGUUCUUUAUAACUCCACACAUAUUUUAAAACCAGAUUGUCAAGUUUCACAAAACAUAUCUCGAGAUUUUUAUUGGAAUUGCAUUGAAUCUAUAAGCCAAUUUUGGGAGAACUGACAUCUUCAUAAAAUUGAGUCUUUCAAAUCAUGAACAUGACUUAUGUUUCCAUUUGUUGGCUCUUCUUUAACGGAUUCUAAUAGAGUUUUGUUGUUGUUUUUUUUUUUUUUUUUUUUUUUUUUUUUGAGGAAGAUUAUCCCUGAGCUAACUACUGCAAGUCCUCCUCUUUUUGCUGAGGAAGCCUGGCCCUGAGCUAACAUCCAUGCGCAUCUUCCUCUGCUUUAUAUGUGGGAUGCCUACCACAGCAUAGCAUGCCAAGCAGUGCCGUGUCCGCACCCGGGAUCCGAACCGGCAAACCCCGGGCCGCCAAGAAGCGGAACGUGCGAACUUAAACGCUGUGCCACCUGGCCGGCCCCUCCAAUAGAGUUUUAUGAUUGUUUUCAUACAGUAUAGAGAGUUAGAUUUAUUCCUAAGGUAUUUGAUCAUUUUAGAUGUCAUAAUGAAUGGUGUCUUUUAAACUUAUAUUUUCUGUCUGUUGUUGGGGUAUAGAAAUGAAAUUGAUUUCUGUAUAAUGACUGUAGCUGGCAACCUUACUAAUAGCAUUUAUUAAAUUUUAUAAUUUAUCUGUGGGUUUUUAAAUAUUCUACAAAGACAAUAAAGCAUCUGGCCAAGACCCAGGUAACACAACUCAGAGGUGUGGGGAAAUUAAUGCCUGGCUGGGUGAACUUUGACUAGUGAAAGAGAUGAGACCAAAACAAACCGGCAGAUCAAUUCCUUUCCCUUGCUUGACAUUUCAAGAUGCCAUGGUUCUAUGCAGCAUGUCUGGAGGCAUCUAGGGAGACUGAGAAAGACGCUGGAUUUUCUUGAAUAGCAAUGGUGAGCUCAGGAGCACACUAAUUUAUAGUUUCUUUCCAUCCCUCUCUGCCUCACUUCCCUUUUUCCUUCACUCAUACACCCAUGGGAUUGCAUCCUACGGGAAAGCUUCAGCACAUAUGUUUUGCUUCAGGCUCUGUUUUAUAGUGAACGCAGAAACCAAUCUUCCAGUUGUAAUAUCUUGUCUUGGGCUUCAGAGGAGGCCUGGUUCAGGGGGAAUUGGGGAAAGGAAGAAUGGUUUGGCUCAGGAGAAGGAGAAAGACCACGCUUACCACGGUUUCUCUACCUGAACAAACAAGGCAACUCUAGUUUUGAAUAUUUUGUAUGUGUGUAGAGGAAGGCCUGGAAGGUUUCAGACCAAACUGGGGAAGGUUGUUCCUUCUGGGGAGUGGGAAGGGGUGAGGAAGGGUUUUCCUCUAUUUUAUAUAUGUAUGUACUUCUGAUUUAUUUUCUUCUUGUUUCCAUAAUAUUCCAUUGUGUGGCUAUGCCACAUUGAUGGGCAUUUGAAUUGUCCACAGGUUUUUGCUAUUAACGAAAGCAUUUUUACGAACAUUGUUGUACAUCGCCAUUGUUGUACCAGUUCAAGAAUUUCUGCUGGAUAUAUGUACCUAGGAGUGGAAUUGCUGGCUCAGAGGGUAGAUACGUAUUCAGUUUUAAAAGAUAAUGGAAAACUGUUUUCCUAACUAGUAACUAGUUUUGACUCCCAGUAGCAAUGUUCAAGAACUCAUAUAGAUUCACAUCCUCUCCAGCACUUGAUAUUGUUAGACAUUUUAAUUUUUGAUAAUUAAAUGGGUGUACAUUGGUAUUUCAUUGUAGUUUCCCUGAUCACUAAUGAGUUGAAUACCUGUUCAUAUGUUUAUUGGUCAUAUGUGUUUCUCCAUCUGUGAAAUGUUUAUUCAUGCUUUUUAGCCAUUUCUUUACUGUAUUGUUUGUGUUUUUCUUAUUAAAUUGUAGUCCUUUAUAUAUUCAUA